ensembl:lncRNA
AGCCAAAUUAUUUUAUAUAUAUAUAUGCUUACAAAAAAAAAAUCCUUUAAAUAAGAGCCUUGAUAAAUGUGGCCCGUGUUCAGUGAAACUCCUCUAAAGCAGAGUAAUGUGAAUUUAAACACCAGUGAAUAACUAAACAGCAUCGCUUGGCUUUUUUGUCAUCUUGUUUAAUCCGUACUGAUUCUUCAGGAAAGCUAUGAUGACUGCCAACUCUGUAAGUGCCACCACUUGUGACCAAAAUCAUGGACACCCUAAUGACUAAAGGUCAGAGGUUGAACCCUCAGUCAAGGGCUCGACUUUGGUGAUGUAAAAUCCUCUUGUGGAAGCAUGUGUCGUCCGUUCUGUGUCUGUAGAUCUUUGUCUUAUGACAGCAUGUGAGAUUUACAUUGUGCCUGUUCUCAGUGAACUCUUGACGUGUAGUAAAAUGAAAACAAGUAGUAUGUAGUAAUAUGGCUGUGUUUGUGUUUGUAUUUGACUGAAUGACAUUUCAAAUAAACUUGAUUUAAUACACAAUCUGAUACUGUCACAUUAGCAAAUUUUUUUCUUACAAUGCACACACACAAUUAAAUCAGCAGAUAUUAAUAUGAACUCUCAGAAAAUCAUUGUCGAGAGUACAGUUUAGUCCUGCAAAUUAGUUGAAAAAUCUAAUUGUAUUUUCAAAGGAUUUUAUUGUAAAUUCCCUCUCUAGACGAUCUGAAAUAGUGUAAUAAUUUUAAAAUCAGUUUUAUACCUGAAUAAUUAAAAACUAGGUUAUAUAAACAGACUUUUAUUCUAAAACAUCAGAAGAAGCUCAUGAAUAUGUAUUAUGUAGCAUUACGUCAGACCAGUAUGCUUUCCUGAUUUGCAGAAAGGGUUUUAGUUAAUAUUCAUAAGAUGAGCCUUACAGCAACGUAAGUGGACUUCUAUUUUGAAACAUCAGAAUCCAUUUUCCGGGGAUCUGUUUGGAUGGUGUUUGUUAUGGUUUGAGUUCAGAGUCUGGACAGUAUGAGUGUGUGUUCUGCUGUUAACACUCAUUCAUGCCCUCUGACAAUUUCCUGGAUAGUUAAGUUAUUCAUCUUGAUGAGUAGGCUACUUAUGGAGAAGGUCCGAAAAAUUCUAGUUCAUCUGUCGAGGGUGCAGGUCAGCAGAGCUAAAAUAUAUCUUGUAUAAAAUAAUAAUAAUAAUAAUAUGUUUCAAAUAAUAGUCUAAUAAUAAUUUUAUCUGUGUAUUUUGUAUAUAUUAUAAUUUAUUUAAUUUUACUUAUAAAUGUAUAGUUUAUAUAUAUACAUAUAUAUAUACACACAUAAUAAUACAAACUAGUUAACUAAUUAAUAAUAAAUAACACACACACACCCA